rnacentral:rRNA from 1 species
GUAGGUGGCAAGCGUUGUCCGGAAUUAUUGGGCGUAAAGCGCGCGCAGGCGGUUUUUUAAGUCUGAUGUGAAAGCCCACGGCUCAACCGUGGAGGGUCAUUGGAAACUGGAGAACUUGAGUGCAGAAGAGGAGAGCGGAAUUCCACGUGUAGCGGUGAAAUGCGUAGAGAUGUGGAGGAACACCGGUGGCGAAGGCGGCUCUCUGGUCUGUAACUGACGCUGAGGCGCGAAAGCGUGGGGGAGCAAACAGGAUUAGAUACCCUGGUAGUCCACGCCGUAAACGAUGAGUGCUAAGUGCUAGAGGGUUUCCCGCCCUUUAGUGCUGCAGCAAACGCAUUAAGCACUCCGCCUGGGAGUACGGUCGCAAGACUG